rnacentral:tRNA from 1 species
GGGCCUGUGGUCUAGUGGUUAUGACGUCCGCUUGACGUGCGGGAGGUCCCAGGUUCGAGCCCUGGCAGGCCCA